rnacentral:rRNA from 1 species
AUUGAACGCUGGCGGCAGGCCUAACACAUGCAAGUCGAACGAGUGGCGGACGGGUGAGUAAUGUCUGGGAAACUCCCUGAUGGAGGGGGAUAACUACUGGAAACGGUAGCUAAUACCGCAUACCAUCGGAUGUGCCCCGAUGGGCUUAGCUAUUAGGUGGGGUAAAGGCUCACCUAGGCGACUAUCCCUAGCUGGUCUGAGAGGAUGACCAGCCACACUGGAAAGGAGACACGGUCCAGACGCCUACGUGAGGCAGCAGUGGGGAAUAUUGCACUAUGGGCGCAAGACUGAUGCAGCCAUGCCGAGUGUGUGAAGAAGGCAUUCGGGUUGUAAAGCACUUUCAGCGAGGAGGCGUUACUCGCAGAAGAAGCACCGGCUAACUCCGUGCCAGCAGCCGCGGUAAUAC